rnacentral:rRNA from 1 species
AGUGAACGCUGGCGGUAGGCCUAACACAUGCAAGUCGAACGGCAGCACAGUAAGAGCUUGCUCUUACGGGUGGCGAGUGGCGGACGGGUGAGGAAUACAUCGGAAUCUACUUUUUCGUGGGGGAUAACGUAGGGAAACUUACGCUAAUACCGCAUACGACCUACGGGUGAAAGCAGGGGAUCUUCGGACCUUGCGCGAUUGAAUGAGCCGAUGUCGGAUUAGCUAGUUGGCGGGGUAAAGGCCCACCAAGGCGACGAUCCGUAGCUGGUCUGAGAGGAUGAUCAGCCACACGGGAAGGGAGACAGGGUCCAGAGGACUACGGGAGGGAGCAGUGGGGAAUGUUAGACAAUGGGCGCAAGCCUGAUCCAGCCAUACCGCGUGGGUGAAGAAGGCCUUCGGGUUGUAAAGCCCUUUUGUUGGGAAAGAAACGCAGCAGGUUAAUACCCCGCUGUUCUGACGGUACCCAAAGAAUAAGCACCGGCUAACUUCGUG